UCUAAAUCCCACAGGUGAUUC
rnacentral:piRNA from 1 species